AGGCCCUGAUGUGGGCAAACUCAUUGAAGUUCUUUAUAGCGAUCCCAUGCCUCAUUUAGGGAUUCAUUAUCAUGUUAGGUGAAUGAGGUUAUUUCUUUGAUAAGCCU
rfam:Jatropha curcas cultivar GZQX0401 scaffold638_25, whole genome shotgun sequence.